rnacentral:rRNA from 1 species
GUAGGGGGCGAGCGUUGUCCGGAUUUAUUGGGCGUAAAGAGCUCGUAGGCGGCUUGGCAAGUCGGGUGUGAAAACUCCAGGCUCAACCUGGAGACGCCACUCGAGACUGCUAUGGCUAGAGUCCGGUAGGGGACCACGGAAUUCCUGGUGUAGCGGUGAAAUGCGCAGAUAUCAGGAGGAACACCGGUGGCGAAGGCGGUGGUCUGGGCCGGCACUGACGCUGAGGAGCGAAAGCGUGGGGAGCAAACAGGAUUAGAUACCCUGGUAGUCCACGCCGUAAACGUUAGGCACUAGGUGUGGGACCUUAUCAACGGGUUCCGUGCCGUAGCUAACGCAUUAAGUGCCCCGCCUGGGGAGUACGGCCGCAAGGCUA